CCUACGGGCGGCAGCAGUGGGGAAUAUUGCACAAUGGGGGAAACCCUGAUGCAGCGACGCCGCGUGAGUGAAGAAGUAUCUCGGUACGUAAAGCUCUAUCAGCAGGGAAGAAAAUGACGGUACCUGACUAAGAAGCCCCGGCUAACUACGUGCCAGCAGCCGCGGUAAUACGUAGGGGGCAAGCGUUAUCCGGAUUUAAGGGGUGUAAAGGGAGCGUAGACGGCUGCACAAGUCUGGGGUGAAAUCCCGGGGCUUAACCCCGGAACUGCUUUGGAAACUGUGCGGCUGGAGUGCAGGAGGGGUAAGCGGAAUUCCUAGUGUAGCGGUGAAAUGCGUAGAUAUUAGGAAGAACACCGGUGGCGAAGGCAGCUUACUGGACUGUAACUGACGUUGAGGCUCGAAAGCGUGGGGAGCAAACAGGAUUAGAUACCCUUGUAGUC
rnacentral:rRNA from 1 species